UUCAGACAUUACCUGACCUCAGUUUGACAUUGACCUUGAACUUGACCUCGUUUUGGAAUUAGGUUGCUUUGUAUCGACAAGGAUGACACCGGGGGCAUCGUUUAUUGAACGCAGCUCCUUGUUUUGUAUAGUAUCGAUGCAAACGGUUGUUUUGUUAUCAUGAUAUAAUGCAUUUUUGUUGAAGACAAGUCUUGUUGAAUUGUCUUUUUUUAAUGAAAAACAUUAAUGGCCAGUAAAAGAAAUCCUAGGUUGAUUAUUAUUAUACCAUAUUUACAUAGCGCCCUUUUUGACUAAAUUGUUCAAAGGCGCUUUACAUACAUGAUUAAUUGUAACUUGAAGCAAAGAUUUAAAUGUAGUAAAAGCAAUAAAAUGAGAACUUGGAAAAAAUAUAUAUACUAGAUGAAAUCCUCCGAGUCAUUGAAAUGCCGUUGUAAAAUAUUGUCACUGUAUUGAUUAAAUAAAGGGAUUGUAAGUGAAAUAUCAGGAUUUGUACAUAUCUGUGAUAUUUAUAAAUUCACUGAUAUUUCAUUGUUUUUUAGGGAAUUUAUGUUGUGGUUGUGUUUGUAACCAGUGAUGUGGCAAGGAUUUGAAAAUACAGUUAUUUCUAAUGCCAUUGUCAUUUGAUGUAUGUAUCUACCCAAGCCCUGCUCACUAAUCCUUUAAUUUUUAAAAGAUCCAGAUUCAUGUUGGAAAGUAUGGAAAAAAAAAUACAUCAUUAUAUCUGUGUAAACAUAAAAUUAACAUGUUUUUGUGUAUAAACAGUAUUGUGUGUUAGGUUUAGAAUAGUACACACAUAUAAUAUGCAUAGUAAAGGGCAGUAUAAAUGUGCAGUCCAUUAAAAUAAGUUGUUUUUUUUAAAGGACUUUUAUUUGACAUCUAAUUGUGAAUGAAGAAAACACAGCAUAUAUAUUUAGUAAAAAAUAAAUUCAUUUGAUAAGGAUUUUUGUACAUUUAGGUUCUAAAAAUAUGCCAUUUUAGUGACAAUGUGCUUGGGAUACCUAUAAGCUUAUACUGUGAUGGCUAAUACCUCAGGAAUUCCAAGUGUUCUUAAUUGUUUCUGUUUCAUAAUACUGGUACUCAUUCCUGCUUUGUGGAGUCAUCAAUAUUCACAGACAUUUGUAUUCAUUGAUGUUGUGGUUGUGUCACUCCAUGAAAUCAGAUCUCGACAAAUAAAUUCCCAUUUGUUUUAUAAAAAUCUAUAAAAUUAACCCUUGUUUAAUUUCUAUAAUGAACUUGUCCAUCUUUCAAUUUGGACAGUACCAUUAACUUACAAAGGGUGCUUACCAAAAAGAUACUGACUGAAUGGCGAACAGUGCAGAUCUUGAUCAGACUGCAGUCUGAUCAUGAUCUACACUGGUUGCAAAGGCAGAAUCAAACGUGUCCAGCAUGAUAAGGGCUAAUGUCUGUAUAAAAUAGCCAUUUUUUGCUGAAACCAUGAAAUAAUUUAUCAAAGCUCAAUAUUCUCGUGUUUUAAGCAGUAAAAAUAAGAUUCUUCAGAUUGUAAUUUUUGAUUUAUUUAUAAGUGAAAUGUAAAAAUUUGAUAGUAACAGUUGUGAAUUUUGAUGAUACCAUUGAUAUUGUUGCCUAAAUGAUAAGGAAAGAUGUAAAUAGAAUUAUAUUGAUCUGGUUGUACAGAACUUAUCAUGCAUUUUCACCGGUAUGUUAAACCCAUUUUUUCCUGUAAAACAGAAAGAAUGCUUACAGAUUUACAGAUAUAAUGCACCCCAUCAUAUAAUUAUAUAUACCGUUGUAUACAAAUUAUGGUUAUGUAAACUUUUUUGUAUAUUUUGUUAUGAUACUUUGCAUAUUUUGUAUUUUAUAAUAAUUUAUACGAGAUAAUCAGAAUUUAUAAUUUAUUUCUGUUAUAAAUUUGUGCUUUAUUAGCAUGAUGCAUGAUGUUAAAUAAACAACUGAAUUAAG
rnacentral:lncRNA from 1 species